UACGGAGGGUGCAAACGUUGCUCGGAAUCAUUGGGCGUAAAGCGCACGUAGGUGGCUUGUUAAGUCGGGUGUGAAAAUCCCUGGGCUCAACCCAGGAAGUGCACUCGAAAACUGGCGAGCUUGAGUACUGAAGAGGGUCGCGGAAUUCCCGGUGUAGAGGUGAAAUUCGUAGAUAUCGGGAGGAACACCAGUGGCGAAGGCGGCGCCUGGGGCAGAUACUGACACUGAGGGUGCGAAAAAGCGUGGGGG
rnacentral:rRNA from 1 species